UACGAAGGGUGCAAGCGUUACUCGGAAUUACUGGGCGUAAAGCGUGCGUAGGUGGUUCGUUAAGUCUGAUGUGAAAGCCCUGGGCUCAACCUGGGAAUGGCAUUGGAUACUGGCGACCUAGAGUGCGGUAGAGGGGUGUGGAAUUCCCGGUGUAGCAGUGAAAUGCGUAGAGAUCGGGAGGAACACCAGAGGCGAAAGCGGCGACCUGGACAAUGACUGACACUCAACUGCGAAAGCGUGGGGAGCAAACAGG
rnacentral:rRNA from 1 species